rnacentral:lncRNA from 1 species
GAAAAUGGACCCCAGGAAGAGCAGCAAGCUAAGAGCAGAAUCAGGAUCAAUGCAGGCUGCAUUGCGUUGCUUGUGAGGAGCCCCCUUCAAGACUGCAGAAAGGAAGCCAUCACAUGCCCUUGGCCAGAAGCCUGGCAUCCUGAAAUUUCAAGAGGAUUUAUGCUCUUAUGGACUCACUGGGAAGAAAUCUCCAGACCAACUCCUAAAGGCUGACCUAAUUGGGAGAAACUCGCAAGUUUUAGAUCUGUGUAAGAACAGCAGUAGGAAUACUCUAAGCUUGGCUUUUGACACAGGACAUUUCCUUAGGGGCAUCUGGGAUCUCUGCUGCCUCGAAGUGAUGCACUGCAGCCAAGAAGUGAGCAGAAAGGAAAGGGGGUGCCGCACAGAACGAGCUCCUUCCAGGUUGACACCAAGUGGAAUUCUCAAAGAGCCACAUCUGGAGGCAGCAGCUAUACAGUGAUUCACAUUGUAAAUGAUGUUUUGAAAUAGAGAUCAUUAGUAACCACAGAUGUGACCCAGCUCUGUCCCCCGGAUAAUCUGUCUAUUGUAUCUAAAUUCCAGACUUGGAAUUUAGGACACCCAGUGGAAUGUUUAAUAGGCAUUGUCCAACACCAUCCCCAAGUCUGUUCUUAUUCAUGAAGUACUCUAACAUCAUCUCGCUUGGUCUUCCUGAUGACUGUAAUGCAGACAGGGAACAGGGAAAGCCAUAAGGACUUGUACAAGGACCCAAGGCUACAAAGGGAAGGGCUGAGACCAGACCUCAGGUUUUCAGCCUUCAGGUGCUGUGAAGAUUGAGUGACUUAGCAUGAGCUUUCAGCCAGGCAAGCUGCAAAGUGCACCCAAGUUCUUUCAGCGAUCAACACUUGCGACUUUGGUUGAGACAAUUUUCAUCCUCCCUGAACCUCAGUUUUCCCAUCUGUAAAAAAUAAACAUUGCCUGCCUGGGAGGAUGGAGGUGAAAGUGGAUUGAGGUCACAUGUAACUCCUAGCACCCUGCCUGAGACAGCAAAGAUUCAAUUAUAGCAGU